AGAUCAAUCAUCAUUUCCAACCAUUAUACUGAAAAGAAAAUGAUGACAAUAACACAAACCACCCACCUGAAGGUGAUAAUCCUGGUGUUUCUGGCGGCUUUGGUAGUAGCCGCAACUUGCAGGCCGAUGUUGGGUGCAAACAAGAUGACUUCUAUAGCUAGUAAAGGCUCGGUGAUACAUUCAGAGCCUAAUCCUUGCACUUACCUCCCUACAUACGAUCCUAGGCAUUGUCAACCCAACUAGCUGCUACUACGAGGUAGUGAUCCAGUUGGCGGAAAGAGAGGGAGAAAAAGAAUGAACUUGUCCAAGUGGCUGUUUGGAAACUACUUGAAUUCACAACCUAGAUGGGUUUUCAUGUAAUAAGUUAAUAUGUGAAUGUAAAUAACAGCGUGCUUGUGACUUCUCUUUUAAGAAAUGCUUUAUUCCUUUUUCUGUUUUUAA